rnacentral:RNase_P_RNA from 1 species
CCACCCGGGGCGACCCGCGGGACAGUGCCACAGAAAUUAGACCGCCUCGAGCAAUCGAGGUAAGGGUGAAACGGUGGUGUAAGAGACCACCAGCGCGGUAGGUGACUAUCGCGGCUAGGUAAACCCCACUUGGAGCAAGGCCAAGAGGAUCGCUUGCGAUCUGUGCAGACGAGUUGCUCGCUCUAUGUCUGCAGGUAGGCCGCACCAGGUCACUGGCAACAGUGAUCGCAGAUGGAUGAUCGCCCUCGGUUUACCGAGACAGAACCCGGCUUACAGGCCAGCUCGUCCA